rnacentral:misc_RNA from 1 species
CUGCCCUCGAGCGAGUCCAGCAUCUAGGUGCUGGACGAGCCCGGCGUUGGGGCACUACGGGAAGCCUCGUGCUAUCCCCCGUAGGCCCCGAAAUGAAGUGGCGGUCCUGCCGCGGCGCCCCCUGCGUAGUAUUACAGCUCGCUUCGGGACCCGGUGGAGGCCUGCCGUCAAACCUUACUCUCUAA